rnacentral:rRNA from 1 species
CAAUAGCGUAUAUUAAAGUUGUUGCAGUUAAAAAGCUCGUAGUUGGAUUUGUGGCGUACGGUGUGUUCCGGUCACUUGUUGUCUGAGUAACCUGCUGUUGCCAUCCUUGGGUGGAACCUGUGUGGCAUUAGGUUGUCGUGCAGGGGAUGCCCAUCAUUUACUGUGAAAAAAUUAGAGUGUUCAAAGCAGGCUUAUGCCGUUGAAUAUAUUAGCAUGGAAUAAUGAGAUAGGACUUUUUUGCUAUUUUGUUGGUUUGCGCAAAGAGGUAAUGAUUAAUAGGGACAGUUGGGGGUAUUCGUAUUCCAUUGUCAGAGGUGAAAUUCUUGGAUUUUUGGAAGACGAACUACUGCGAAAGCAUUUACCAAGGAUGUUUUCAUUAA